rnacentral:lncRNA from 1 species
CAUAUAGAUAUAGGAAGAUGUGAUGUGAGUGCCGAUGAGACAACUCUCCAUCCAAAUAACAAUUUAAAAAAGGUAAACCAUUAUAGGUCAAUGUACGGCCUUCAACACGGAGCCUUGGCUCACACCGAACAACAAGCUAUAAAGGGCCCCAAAAUUACUAGUGUAAAACCAUUCAAACGGGAAAACCAACGGUCUAAUCUAUAUAAAAUUUAAAAAAAAACGAGAAACGAGAAACACGUUUAAAUUACAUAAACAAACGACAACUACUGUACAUCAGAUUCCUGACUUAGGACAGGUGCAAAC